rnacentral:lncRNA from 1 species
CAUCUAAUGUAUGUAUUAAACAAUAGAUCAGAUCUAUUACCUUGCAAGUUAGACGCUCUAACCUCACUGAUCCGGGCUUAAGGAUGAUGUUGCAAGCCGCACAUGCGUCCGGCCUCUAGGAGUCAUCCACACGAGCCCACGAAUCUCGAUCAGAAGUCCUCUUUCAGGAAAUCAGCACAGUAUGCUAGUACUGCGCUGAUCCUUCUUUGAUGGUUGAU